rnacentral:lncRNA from 1 species
GUGUGUUAUUAGAGCAUGAUGGUGUAAGUUUCAAAUACAAAACAUAUGGUUGACGAUUAGUAUCGUUAAUACAAAUAAUAUAGACAGUUUUUUAGGCUUUAAUUAUUUAGUUGAAACUUGAAAGGGAUAUAGAAAUAAUGAAAUAUUUCGUUUGUUGGAAUAAAUAUAUUUCUUGGAAUAAGAAAAAUAAUUAAAAAUACAUGUUUUAAAUAAGGCAAUGUCAUGACCUAAUAUAAACAAGCUCCAAGCCUUUACUUG